rnacentral:sRNA from 1 species
GAAAGUAAGUAGGAAAGAGUGCUCAUUGAUCAGAACCAGUUACAGAUCCCUUUGUUCCUUCUCCACUCCCACUGCUCCACUUGACCAUGCUAAA